rnacentral:lncRNA from 1 species
UGCAACCACAAACCAUCCUCCAUCUUUACCCUCCUCUCUCUUUCAUCUCUAAUCCUCAUCUUCUUUGCCGUCUCAUGAAACACCCGAAACCACCCUACCUUCCAUUUCCUCUACUAUUGUCAAUUUGAUCAUCUAAAACUAAAGAGUAAACGGCUUAUAACACUAUUGGUCAUAUAUAAGUAGUAAUCCUUUUGUGGUGAUUUUUUUACUAGUUCGGAACUUGUUGAAACGCCAAUAAGUGGAGUCAUUGCCUCAUUUUCUGAAGCUACAGGUAUCAAUUCUAGCCUGAAGAAAUUAUUUGGGUUCGGAAAAACAGCGGAAGAAAGAGAUAAUAUCCCAAAAGAAGUUUAAAGCUUAAAACAAUACUGUCAAUAAUUAAGUGUACUUCGGUUCAGCUAAAUGAAUUAUGAUGUUUUUUUUUUUUUUAGCAAAAUGGCCUCCGGGCCACUUAAACUUGUACCCGUUUGUCAAACCGGUAUAUAAACUUUUAUUUUUUUCAUUUGGACCUCUACUUGAUGAACUGAAUACUAAUAAACAUAUCCGACUGAACGUGUUCUUCACUCGCUGUGACAUGACUGACACGUCAUAUACUAAGCCUUUUAUUCUUUGACAUGUGUAAUCUGUGGGUCCUACUUUAAAAGAAAAAUUAUUUUACCAGAUUUUUAUUCUCUCUAAAAAAUUAAUUUUUGUCUUCUCCUUCAUAGUCAAAACUCCCGCCGAUCCACCACCAUUUCACCAUAUUCAAUACUCGGCCACCUAAAACCCUCCCACUUUCAAGUCUCAUGCCACCACUAGCAGUCUCUCCGCUCUAUUCAGGUGCUAUUUUUUCUCUCUGCGUUGUCAAGCUCUUGGAAAUUUUGAGUUACAUUCUUUCAAUAAUCGGAUUUCAAUAAAAUCAAAUUAUUGAAUGCACGUUUGCGAACCUGUAUCAAUUGCAUGGCACAAAUUUAAUGAAUUUCGUUUUCUCUUAACUAGGGCAUUUCUAGGUUAUAUACUUACCGGCAUAUCCUGCAACUUAAUUUGUUAGUUAAUUCUCGAACUCUGAGUGUUUGAUUAUAUAUUUAAGGCCACCUAAAGCCCUCCCACCUAAAUCUGAAAGCCAGACCAUUGGUUUAUUUGAGGUAUUUUUAUGGAGCAUAGAUCCACCAUUGCUGGACAGUGAAAAGCUUCAAAGCCUCUAAUGGAGAUGAAAAAAAAAAGAGAAUCAGAAGGACUUGUGAUUUCAGGGGAAAGAAAAGAAAAGAAAGGGAAAGAGGAUGGGGAGAUGGGGUGUCGAGUGGGUUUUUGUAAUUUUUUAUUCUUGUUUUACUUUUUAUCUUUUCUUUUCAUUUUUAAUUACUCAAGCAAAUUGCUUUCACGCGUCUGAUUUGCGUGAUAUGCACACACUAUUGCCACGUCACACAUAUUAUUGCCACAUAGACUUGGUCAAUGGUCAGAGGUAUUUAUUAGUACUCAUUCCGUCAAGUACAAAUGUUUAAAUGGAAAACUUGUAAGUUCAUUUACCGGGUUGACAAACGGGUACAAGUUUAAGUGGCCCGGAGGCUAUUUUGACUUUUUUUUGGUUUAAAUAGAUAAAAGAACACUGGUUUGUUGAUCCAUUCAUUUUGCUUGAACUUGAUUGUUGGCCUAAGUAAGUUUGUUUUGAUAAUUGACAAAGAAACACAUGCAUGAACCAGGUUCAUACACAGUAUACACAGGGUAUGGGCAGAUUCAAGCACAAGGCAUGUACGUGAAGGGGAUAAGCAUAAGUAGUUAUAUCUGCUAUCUCCUGAACGAAAAUGUUGCAUAAUUGAUAAGGAGCAGGACUCCUUACUUGAAAAGAACUCUAUCAUAGAUAAGAGAGAAGUUAGAAGUUGAAGAUAAUUAGAACUCUUCCACCAAGGAAGAGUAAAACAUUAGAACUCUAGUUAAUCCUUAUUGUACUAACUAUAUAAGUAUCAGCUUUGUUCUCCUUUACAGGCGACACACAAACGCUGAAGGUAGACAAGAGUUGGGAGCAAAAUAGCAAGACAUUUUACAAGCAAUUCCUGUGUGUUUCAAGUGUGCGAACCUGAAGCUACAUGAACCACAUAGAAGAACCAAUUCCAAGUGUGUGUCUUUUAUUCUAGUUUCAUUGUAGCAGGGCUUUUGAGUUGUACCUUUCAGCUUUCUCUAGAAGCAUUUGUACUAGGUACUCUGAGUGUAUUGUUUACGUUAGAGUUAACUUGAAAUUGUCGCAACAGCCUGAGGCUGGUUGCCACAAAGGGUUAUAGGUAAUCCUUAGGUUUACAAGAGUUUUGUAAACGCUAUUUUUGGCUUAGUGAUUUAGUGAAGUGUUGG